rnacentral:tRNA from 1 species
UUAUAUUUUAGUGUAAGAUGCAUAAUAGUUUUUGAUACUAUUGGAUAUAGUUUAAUUCUAUAAAAUAUAAU